CUAGCGACUUCAGAGUUUGUAUCCUGGCUCAGGAUGAACGCUGGCGGCAUGCCUAACACAUGCAAGUCGAACGAAGCACAUGUGACAGCUUGCUGAGGAUUGUGACUUAGUGGCAACGGGUGAGUAAUGCAUGAGCAACCUGCCCUUCAGUGGGGGACAACAGUUGGAAACGACUGCUAAUACCGCAUAAUACUUCCGAAAGGCAUCUUUUGGAAGUCAAAGAUUUAUUGCUGAAGGAUGGGCUCAUGUCUGAUUAGCUAGUUGGUAGGGUAACGGCCUACCAAGGCGACGAUCAGUAGCCGGUCUGAGAGGAUGAACGGCCACAUUGGGACUGAGAUACGGCCCAG
rnacentral:rRNA from 1 species